UCCCCGGAACUGGGAGCUGAGAGGAGCUGAGCACACCCACGUUAUCCCUGCGAGACAGAACAUCCGAGCGCUGAAACUAAAACCGCAGGGAUCCAACCACUCCAGAGCACAGCUGUGUAGGUGUCUGAACUGCUGCAAUUACACUGCUUUCACAAAGCCUCUUAACAGGUUUCUCCACCUCAUGCUUGAUGCUCUGUUUUGGCUCCUAAUCCAGGAUGGAUAACACAGCAAAAGUGGAACAGGAGAAGACGGCGCAUUGCAAGUGGCCCUUUGGCAACCUGCAGGGCUCACACUUACAGCAAAUACUCUGAGCGCAGAAGCUGUCUGAAUGCCAACAGGGAAAUACCUGUUGUCAAGGAUGAAAGACAAGACAUCUCCCAUUUCCCAGAAGUGCUC